CUUGACCCUCAACACGGAGCUUUGUCUCGUUCUUGGGGGGAUGUAUUGUAUGCUGUUCCAGUUCGACUGCUAGGAGUGUAAACCUAUUCGUAUGGUUUUUCCUAUUCGGCUGUUUACGGCAUUCAUAUAGUUUCCUGUUCAGCGGAUUGGUGUUCUGCAGUAGCUGUGCCUGUGUCUCUGGAAGGGAAGAUCUACUAAACGGCAGUUUAACCCUUUUAUGCUGAGGGUGCCG
rnacentral:lncRNA from 1 species